GGAAGGGUGCGCCGAACGGUAAGGCACCAGUCUCGAAAACUGGAACCUCGAAAGGGGUUUGUGGGUUCAAGUCCCACCCCUUCCG
rnacentral:tRNA from 1 species